rnacentral:tRNA from 1 species
GCAAGGGUAGCAAAGCUUGGUCAAAUGCGCUAGCUUGAGGGGCUAGUGUCUUAGGACUUCGUGGGUUCAAUCGUUUCAAGCGCCGAUGAAUGCUUGGAACGGUGUCCAAAAAUCCCUCCCCUUGCA